CGGGCUAUGAACGAGACGUUUAUUUCUCCUUUUGAUGGUUCUAGUAAUUAGGAACGCGUAUAUUGCUGUGUGUAGUCUUUGCCUAUCGAGCCCACGAUAGGCUUUUUUUUUA
rnacentral:sRNA from 1 species